rnacentral:rRNA from 1 species
AUUGAACGCUGGCGGCAUGCCUUACACAUGCAAGUCGAACGGUAACAGGGAGCUUGCUCCGCUGACGAGUGGCGAACGGGUGAGUAAUGUAUCGGAACGUACCUUUCAGUGGGGGGAUAACGUAGCGAAAGUUACGCUAAUACCGCAUAUUCUGUGAGCAGGAAAGCAGGGGGAUCGCAAGACCUUGCGCUGAUUGAGCGGCCGAUAUCAGAUUAGCUAGUUGGUGAGGUAAAGGCUCACCAAGGCGACGAUCUGUAGCGGGUCUGAGAGGAUGAUCCGCCACACUGGAACUGAGACACGGUCCAGACUCCUACGGGAGGCAGCAGUGGGGAAUUUUGGACAAUGGGGGCAACCCUGAUCCAGCCAUGCCGCGUGAGUGAAGAA